rnacentral:rRNA from 1 species
UACGGGGGGGGGCAAGCGUUGUUCGGAAUUACUGGGCGUAAAGGGCUCGUAGGUGGCCAACUAAGUCGGACGUGAAAUCCCUCGGCUUAACCGGGGAACUGCGUCCGAUACUGGUUGGCUUGAGUUUGGGAGAGGGAUGCGGAAUUCCAGGUGUAGCGGUGAAAUGCGUAGAUAUCGAGAGGAACACCGGUGGCGAAGGCGGCCUUCUGGACAGUGACUGACGCUGAGACGCGAAAGCGUGGGGAGCAAACAGG